AAAGAUAGAAACAGAAUAGGCAAACGAAACAGAGAAGGAAAGAAAGAAAGGAAGAAAAGAAAGAAAGAAAAGGGAAAUUGAAGAUUUGAGGUUCCAAGCUCAAUUGCUAAUGUCGUGCAAGAGUCAUUGUCCGAGAAAGGAAAGGAGAAGGUGGACAAGGAGUGAUUCGAGAAAAUUUCGGUUAGUAGAAAACCAGUGUUUGGCCCAGCAUCCAGAGUAUUCCCGGCCUCAGAGAAAUUUUAGUGAUGUACCUUUCUUUUGAUAACAUGGCAUGUACCUAAGUAGUAUAUAUACCUAAGUGAUGUAUAGGAAUUAGUCAUUUUGAAUGUUUGUAUAUAUGAUAUUGCUAAAGGAAGAUUUGUGAGUA